UACGAGGGGGGCAAGCGUUGUUCGGAAUUAUUGGGCGUAAAGAGCGUGUAGGCGGCUUUGCAAGUCCGUUGUGAAAACUCGAGGCUCAACCUCGAGACGCCGGUGGAAACUGCAAAGCUAGAGUCCGGAAGAGGAGAGUGGAAUUCCUGGUGUAGCGGUGAAAUGCGCAGAUAUCAGGAAGAACACCCGUGGCGAAGGCGGCUCUCUGGGACGGUACUGACGCUGAGACGCGAAAGCGUGGGGAGCGAACAGG
rnacentral:rRNA from 1 species